GUUUCAGCCGUUUUAUUGAACUUUGCGUAUGAAAGAACAGUUUUGAGUCCUAAUGAAAAAAAAAUUUAAAAAAUAAGUUUGACAUCAGGUAAAAAAAAAAAAUCCACACAACCAGAAAACGAAAACCCAAAAACCCACCCGUGUGUGGAGCUGAGUAUGCAGCCCACAGCACAGUGAGGGUCACCAGGACGGCGGGGUGUUUGUUUGAGCAUCAGACCAGCACCAAUGGAACAAAUUGAAACGUGGGCAACACAGCUCACUGGGCAAACCGAAAUGAAAAGGAAAGCAGAGCAACGAUGCUGAGCUUUGCAUCUGCAGCCACAAAUGGAGCUGUUUCUGCAAAGCCUGGCUGCUCCGGAUUCAGCCUCCGUGCAGAGAAGGCUGCUGGGUUGUCAGGUUGGAGUGUUGGGUUUCGGGAGGCAGGAUGGCACUGCUGGAAUAUCUCCGUGUGUGUUGCUGCUGAGAGAGUCCCAGGGACUUCUCAUCACCAGCCAAAGCACUGCCUGAUGACAUGGAAAGCAACAUCAAUGCUAUAUCCAGCCAGGAAGGAAUCACGGCAACAAAUUGCAUAGUAAAUGAUGGGGAAUGAAGAAAUUCAGACCUCCUGUGUGAGAGGUGGGUGCUCGGUCAGGUUGCGGUGUUCCCCUCUUGCAAAGCUUCGGGACCUCAGGUCCUGAAGGAAGAGCCCAUUCUCCUUGGGAGGAGCUCAGUUUGGCCAUGGGAACACUCCUCCCUCCACAGCAACAGUCUUCCUCCCCGCACACCAACAUCGCUCUGUUGGCACUCAAAUCAAUGGCCAAGUCCCAUUUCCCAUACACCAAUGGCAGGUGGGUGGUAGCAAACACACAGCAUUUUGACUAAAACUGCCCCAUUUCAGGCACUGGGCCACAACUCCAUGCCACUGCUACUUCUCCUCUUAAUAGCACAAAGGCUCAGGUAAGUCAAUGGCUUUUCUAGAGCCAGGUAAGUCGUCCUGCCCCAAAACACUCUCUGGAAUGGCACUGCUGCUGGCCUGGCCUCGCUGUGCUCGGAGACAAAGGUCUGGAAAACAGCAGAGGAGGAGAGCAGAUCUCAGCCCAUUCCUUUGGAAGAUGCACUGAUGAUGGCAUCUUUGAAAAGUAAAAAAGGUGACGACAAAGGGCGAUUUCCCCACAUCAGAAGUGGGCCAAACCACCACAUUACAGAUCUGUGCAACAGGAGCAGCAAGAGAGGGGGGCACGCAGCCUUCCAAGGGUGUACAGAGGAGAAAAACCCUAUUCUUCAAUUUCAGAAGAAUUCAGUGACCACAGCAGCACUGAAACGCAUCUUGGAAAACAUCUGUGCCCUUUUCGGCUGUUAUCCAUGAACAUCACCCCAGUGCUGCCUACAGCACCCUGCAGCCCUGCCCUACAAAUCCACCUGGAGGGGCCCCCGUGGCAAAGCUCCCCUCGCCGUCAAACACACUGACAUGGGGAGGGAGGAGGGCUGCAGACAGCAGGAGGAGCUCAGACGUGUUUGGCGUCUCAAGCACCGCACGACGCACGGCUUCCUCAGCAUCUCCGAGCGUGGCUUCGAAGGGCUAUGAAUAAAGAUGAGCAGCCUGCAGUCGGAUGAUUAUGGGAAUAAAUACAUGCUAUUAUUUUUUCGGAUCUUUUGCUGUCAGCCAUCAUUACAUCGCUCCCUUUUUUUUUUUUUUUGCUUUUUAAUCAACUGGGUACAUUUUUAAUUUGCCUUCCCUUGCCAAUCCGGCUCCCCCCCCCCCCAAAAUGACAUUUCUGCGUGGCUGUCCUGGUGUGAUGGUUAUCUACGAAGCACACAGGGCUAUAUUCGGAGUCGUGGCAAUGCAGACAAUACACCGGACCAACAAUUAAAGACGAUCAAACUCUCGCUUAUUUGGAGGAAGCACAUUAACAAUUAGCCGGGUCAGCAAUCAAGCAAACGAAAUCCAACAGCAUGGAGCACACGUGGGCUGAAGGGCGGUUUUGUUGCCAGAGCUGUUAUGUACAACACUGAGAACAGGUUGAAAUUUGGUGAUUUCCACGAGUUGGAGACAUCACAGAGUCAUGGAAUGGAGUUGGAAGGGACCCUUAGAGGCCAUUUGGUCCAACUGCCUGCAAUGGAUGGGGACACUCGGGGUGUCCGUGGGGAAGGUGAGGUUUGGGGAGCAGAGCUGCUGGCACCCAUUGGGGCAUCACUGCUUCAGAGCCCAGCAAAAGGGCUCUGCUCUUCCCAUCCCAUCCAACCCCAAGCAGAGAGACGCUUUAACACAGAGCUCAUUGAAAACGGAUGAGGCACAACCACGGUGCGCACACACACCUAUCUCAUAAAAAAAUCUCUGGGUAACACAGAGGUGAGAAAGAAAAAUAACUUUAGUACUGAUACAUUCUAUCCCCACUUUUAAGGGCUACUGUUUAAUGUUCCAAAAGAAACUAAAUUCAACACCUCUGGGAUCAGGGCUUCCCGAGAGGAAAUCAGCUCUCCUCCUGCCCACAGGGGGUGCUGAGGGUGCUGGGUCCCAUCUCAUGGGGUGCUGGGCUGUCUGCAGCCCCGACCCCCCUGCAGGCAGACGGUUGCUCCCCCCUAUGGGAUCACUGCAGGUUUGUUUGUUCGAUCCCUUUGCGCCCUCAGGACCAGAAUAAGUGCUGCAGGAAGGCUGCAAACCCAUCGCUUCACAGCUGCUUUGCAGGGCUGGAUGUGACACGGAGCACAGAGCCCUCCGAGCUCCAUCCACCGCAAUGGGAGGAGAGCACCGUUGGGUUAUUCGAGGCUCACAGGGAUGGAAAUGGGGUCAGCCCUCACCCCCAGACACCGAACACCUUUUGGCAUUCAUUCCAGUGCUGGGGAGCUGCAGCCUGGUGGGAGGACAUGGCUCCCAUUGCAGGAGGCAGGGAGGGACGCCUUUGGUGCAGCACGUACCUAUUUAUAAAGAGCAUCUACAGGAAAGCCAGUAAAAAUAGAACAGAGCUUGUUCACUUCCGAUGGCCAAAACCAGCCCGUGUCACUGGGAGCACUGGGAGCAGCCCACGUGCCCCCACUUUGCUUCCACCCCAAGCAGACCACUUGGGCAGCCCAACGGUGGCUCUGCUCAGCAUUCCCCUUCCGACUGCUCAACCUUCCAAGAGUUUCUUUAUAACAAGAAAAGAAAACAAAACAACAAAACCCCAAACCCUGCAAUAACACCCAACCCAUUUCCACCUCCGUCCGGCUUUUUUUUCCUCCUGGCUUCGUGCUGUCUCAUCACAUUGCACAAAAGAACCUCCCAUCCGUAUUGCAUUUGUGAGAAGACGUGGAUGAAGCGAGGAGCAGGUCGGGGUUGGAGCUCCAUCCAUCAGUGGGUGCCAUCUCCUUUGGAGGUGUCUCAUCCCCAAGCGCAGUCCUGAAGCUCUCACACUGAAGCUUUUCUG
ensembl:lncRNA